UCUAGUUCGACUUUUUGAGAUCAACUAACUGCUCAGAUCUUAUCAUUAGGGUCGUAAUCGUCUAACUGUUCAGAUCUUGGUUCAAGUCGACUUUCUGGGAUCGACAUUUCUAAAGGUCGACUUUUCUAGUUCGACUUUUUGAGAUCGACUAACUGCUCAGAUUUGAUCAUUAGGGUCGUAACCGUCUAACUGCUCAAAUUUGGUUUCAAGUCAUCUUUCUGGGAUCGACUUUUCUAAAGGUCGACUUUGUCCAGGUCGACUUUUCUAGUUCGACUUUUUGAGAUCGACUAACUGCUCAUAUCUAAUCAUUAGGGUCAUAACCGUCUAACUGCUCAGAUCUGGUUUCAGGUCGACUUUCUGAGAUCGACUUUUCU
rnacentral:lncRNA from 1 species